rnacentral:lncRNA from 1 species
AUGUUUAGUGCGGUAAAGACCGUCUUUCUGCCACUUAUUUUUACCCUGUUUAUUUUUCUAUACUGUGACAUUUUCCUCCUUGUUAAAAUCUUGGUCAUAAAUGAGGGUGCUAGCCCAGACCUAAGAAAACAUACACAAAUGUAUGGACUCCAUACACUGCAAACCCACAGGAUGCAAUUCGCCCUCCAGAAAACCAAACCAAAACCUGUGCACCACGCAAAUUCCCCUUUGGGCUACUCCUUUGGAGCACUUCCCCUUUGGAGAGCUGAAAUGAGAUGUGCUGGCACUUCACUUACUGUACCACGGGGUCAAACACCGCAAAGCAGCUCCAAACGUUAUCCGGUGGGGAAGCAAGAGCAAAAGCUGAAGAGUGAGGAAAGCUUAAUUUUGAAGGAAAAAUGUCAGGUGAAAUUUGACUUUUCUCCCCGGCAGUACGGGCAGGGCACGUGUGUGCCAUUACACUGCCAUCUAGUGAUGCGACUUUGCAAGGCAAAAGAGUUGGCAAAAGAUGGCUGGCCACCAGCAAGAGCCAGAGCCCAAGUUGUGAAGGGAAGGGCCAGAAUUAAGUUAAAGUAAACGAGACAAAAAAAGAACUGCAAAAGGCACAGCCAGUGGUGGCCCCUCAAACACGUACAGGGAAGAAUAGGAUAACGAAAUGCAUGCAAGAUGGGGUUGCAAAGGAGCUCAUCCAUUAUCCAGCUGUUACCCAUUGCAGGGCUCAUCGGGAGAGAUAGUUUUGCAACUCCAGGUCUCAAAGUCCAGCUUCUCGGCUGAUGCUAGCUGCCCUUGCUCUACCACGCUCAUGUUCUGCCAAGCUCAUGGUCAAGCAAAGCCUGCACAGAAGCUUUUCACAGGAGCAACCCUCUUUCAAGCACCUAAAUCUCUUUGGCCAUCUUUCUCCCAGCCUUACUGGGCACAUCUCUCAGCAUUACUCCCUCCUGAACUUAACGCAGUUGUAUCAGGAGGUCUGGGCCAAAUUUAUUCUCUUUGUAAGUGAUUUCAGUGGUGUCCACCUUGGACCACUUUGUCUCUAUCCACAGCCAUUACUACCGUGAAUCAGCAUCCAGAAAGAUUUCCUCAGCUGCACUUCACACUGCUUGUAGACGAUCCUCGUGCUCAAGGGUUGGACAGCAAAGCUAAGGCUUAACACAUGAACCUGAAAUGAACUGACCUUUAUGAGUCAAAAUCCCAAUCCUAAUGUUUUACUCAUCUUGAGGAUAUUUGUCCUCAGUGGUAUGUGUGUCAGAGGGCGUGAAAGUGAGAGUGUCUUGAGGUUAACAAUUGUUCAUACUCAUAGUGGAUGAAUCAUAUGAUAACACCACAGCAACAUCCUGUAUAAUUGUCGGGAGCCUCUAUUUCUGGCAGUGUGUCCCUAGGCUGUCUCAUGAGUAAAUGUUAUUUGUGCUUUACUAUAUAAAACCAAAACCAAACAAAAUUAUACAACGGGACACUAUUCUGCAGGCACUAGCCAAAAUCACAAGUGCCUAAUUGAGCCUUCAGUAACCCUCUUCAGUGAUAAAUUGUGUGAUGAAGUUAAUAAGACUGAGAUGGAUAUCUCUGCUCUUCAGCUGAUUAG